AGAGUUUGAUCCUGGCUCAGAUUGAACGCUGGCGGCAGGCCUAACACAUGCAAGUCGAGCGGAUGAGAGGAGCUUGCUCCUUGAUUUAGCGGCGGACGGGUGAGUAAUGCCUAGGAAUCUGCCUGGUAGUGGGGGAUAACGUCCGGAAACGGGCGCUAAUACCGCAUACGUCCUACGGGAGAAAGCAGGGGACCUUCGGGCCUUGCGCUAUCAGAUGAGCCUAGGUCGGAUUAGCUAGUUGGUGAGGUAAUGGCUCACCAAGGCGACGAUCCGUAACUGGUCUGAGAGGAUGAUCAGUCACACUGGAACUGAGACACGGUCCAGACUCCUACGGGAGGCAGCAGUGGGGAAUAUUGGACAAUGGGCGAAAGCCUGAUCCAGCCAUGCCGCGUGUGUGAAGAAGGUCUUCGGAUUGUAAAGCACUUUAAGUUGGGAGGAAGGGCAUUAACCUAAUACGUUAGUGUUUUGACGUUACCGACAGAAUAAGCACCGGCUAACUUCGUGCCAGCAGCCGCGGUAAUACGAAGGGUGCAAGCGUUAAUCGGAAUUACUGGGCGUAAAGCGCGCGUAGGUGGUUCGUUAAGUUGGAUGUGAAAGCCCCGGGCUCAACCUGGGAACUGCAUCCAAAACUGGCGAGCUAGAGUACGGUGGAGGGUGGUGGAAUUUCCUGUGUAGCGGUGAAAUGCGUAGAUAUAGGAAGGAACACCAGUGGCGAAGGCGACCACCUGGACUGAUACUGACACUGAGGUGCGAAAGCGUGGGGAGCAAACAGGAUUAGAUACCCUGGUAGUCCAA
rnacentral:rRNA from 1 species